GCCUACGGCCAUACCACGUUGAACACACCGGUUCUCGUCCGAUCACCGAAGUUAAGCAACGUCGGGCCCGGUUAGUACUUGGAUGGGUGACCGCCUGGGAACACCGGGUGUUGUAGACA
rnacentral:rRNA from 1 species